UUUUUUAAGUAAGAUCUUGUUAAUUGCCCCGUCUAUCCUCCCCGCAGUCUGUGCGCCGGUGUUGCUAUGUAAGCGCAGAGUACGCGCCGCCCCGCGGCGACGCUCGCUCGCGCCGGGGGGCGAUGACCUCUUGCAUUUCGACUGACACUGAUCUGACGACUCCAACACGACUCAUGUCAGAGAGACUGGCGGCUGGGAGUAGGAAACGGUAUAAGAAUAAUAAGAGAACACUUCGUAACUGAGCUCGUCCGAGGAAGCACUGCCACCAUGCUGAUGCCGCCAAGCAGCAUUACUGUGACCAGUGGGGUAAUCAGCAGUGAUUGCGGGCCCAGGCUCUGCUGCUCACAGCCGCUGACGGAUCCAGUUGACGAAGGAAGACACCCUCAUGAAGCCCGACGGGUGACCGCUCUGGCAGCCGUUGCGGUGCACGAAUGACGUCACUCCAAUCUGCAGAGCUGAUGGUGAUGAUGAAGACUGACCAGCUGUCGGUUGGCGCCGCUGCCGACGUCCAGCGGGCCGCCGGAGUCGCCGUGGCAGACGCUGGUGCGGCCGCCGGCGCUGGCGGUGCAAACGACGGACGGCACGAUCAUGC